UACCAGCACCCCGAGUGGUCGGGACGUUUAUUGGGCCUAAAGCAUCCGUAGCCGGUUCUACAAGUCUUCCGUUAAAUCCACCUGCUUAACAGAUGGGCUGCGGAAGAUACUAUAGAGCUAGGAGGCGGGAGAGGCAAGCGGUACUCGAUGGGUAGGGGUAAAAUCCGUUGAUCCAUUGAAGACCACCAGUGGCGAAGGCGGCUUGCCAGAACGCGCUGCGGACGGUGAGGGAUGAAAGCUGGGGGAGCAAACCGG
rnacentral:rRNA from 1 species